GACGUAGGAGGCGAGCGUUGUCCGGAAUCACUGGGCUUAAAGGGCGCGUAGGCGGGUCAUCAAGUCCGGGGUGAAAUCCCACGGCCCAACCGUGGAAGUGCCUUGGAUACUGGAGACCUCGAGGGGGAUAGGGGCGUGCGGAACUCAGGGUGGAGCGGUGAAAUGCGUAGAUAUCCUGAGGAACACCGGUGGCGAAAGCGGCGCGCUGGAUCCCUUCUGACGCUGAGGCGCGAAAGCCAGGGGAGCAAACGGG
rnacentral:rRNA from 1 species